AGCAGCCGCGGUAAUUCCAGCUCCAAUAGCGUAUAUUAAAGUUGCUGCAGUUAAAAAGCUCGUAGUUGAAUUUCGGGACCAUCAUGUCGGUCGUACCUCGGAAUGUACUGGCAUUGUUGGUUUCUCCCUUCUGACGAACCAUGAUGUCAUUAAUUUGGUGUCAUGGGGAAUCAGGACUGUUACUUUGAAAAAAUUAGAGUGUUUAAAGCAGGCUCACGCUUGAAUACAUUAGCAUGGAAUAAUGAAAUAGGACGUUUGAUUCUAUUUUGUUGGUUUCUAGGAUCGACGUAAUGAUUAAUAGGGAUAGUUGGGGGCAUUAGUAUUCAAUUGUCAGAGGUGAAAUUCUUGGAUUUAUUGAAGACUAACUACUGCGAAAGCAUUUGCCAAGGAUGUUUUCAUUAAUCAAGAACGAAAGUUAGGGGAUCGAAGACGAUCAGAUACCGUCGUAGUCUUAACCAUAAACUAUGCCGACUAGGGAUCGGAUGAUGUUAAUUUUUAAUGACUCAUUCGGCGUCCG
rnacentral:rRNA from 1 species